ACUGGAAGGGGCUGCCCAGGGAGGUGGUGGAGUCCCCAUCCCUGAGGGAUUUCCAGCUGUGUGGAUGUGGCACUUGGGGACAGGGGUCAGUGGUGGCCUUGGCAGUGCUGAGUUAACAGUUGGACUUGAUGAUCUUAAAGCUCUUUUCCAGCCUAAACAAUUCCAUGAUUUUAAGCUUAUCUGACCACGAUUUUUAACAGCCUGUUAGAACAGGGACAUCAUGAACUUCAGUUCUUUCAUUAAGGUCUUUCAGUGGUGGAGCAAAACAGGGUCCUGGAGUCCCUUCUAAGCAGAGGCACUUCUGUGGCAGAUCUUGAGUUUGGGACUCACAAAGCAGCUUCUCAGGGAGCUGUCAGACACUAAUGGCAAAUAUGAAGUUUUCAGACAUUUAGGGCACAGCUGUGUUUGAAGACUCUCAGUAUAAAUGCUUGUGAAAUUAGGGAGAGAUCAGACAGACAAGUGCUUUCUUUACAGGUUGAAGUCCCUUCCAGAAACACUUUCACAACAUUUUUCUGCAUUGUUUCAGACCUGCUCAGUAAAUCAGUUGGGUUUGUAAAGCUGUAGGUGAGCUACAAGAGCUCCAAACCAGAGCUGGCCUUGUAGUUGCAUCUAUAAACUGGAAAACUUUUUAAUUUACUCAAAAUUUCUUGUAUUUUAGGUCAAUCAGGAAGUAGCUGAUAGGGAAACCAACACUUUGCCUUUCCAUCCAUUUGAAAACCAACAAGGAGAUAUUCUGCGUGUGGAAAAGGAGCAUCAGGUGCUGAAAGAACAACUGAAAGAGGCAGAGGAGAAAUUUGAGCAGCUGCAGAGCAGAAGUUCAGAGGAAAUCAGUGCUUUGGAAGAGCUCCUGAGGAAAAGCGUGGAAGAGACUGAGGUAAAACUUCCAUCCUUGGAUCAGGGUGUGGAAUCCCCGUCCCUGGAAGUGUCCAAGGCCACGUUGGAGCAAGCUGGGAUAGUGGAAGGAGUCUCUACCCAUGCAGGGGGUGGAAUGGGAUGAUAAAGGUCCCUUCCAACCCCAGUCUGUGAUGGAUCAUAACACAACAACCCCCUGUAGUGCUACAGGCUGGGCCAGAGGGGCUGGAGAGCAGCCAGGCAGG
rnacentral:lncRNA from 1 species